AUGUUCUCCCUCAAUUGGGUAUAAGACAACUAUUUGAGUUUUCUGUCACUCCUCGUGUACUAACUGAUUCUCGAAGUGUCAUCAAUGUCAUGCAGCAUGUUAAGGAUUGCCAGCUUCCUGCUUUCUUUGACCUCUUUUCCCCGAAAGUGCAGGUGCGCACAGAACAUUCAUGCUAAAUAACUUUAUCUAAAAGGUCCAAAACAUUGCUAAUGCUUCAGUUAUAUCAUUUUCUCCUGUCCAGGACAUCCCGCUCACACAAGAUGUAAAAGCAGCACUGAUUAAACAGAUAUUUGACAGAGCCAGCCUGUCUAAUCUAAGCAUCACUAAUCAGGAAGCUGUAGUCUGGAUCCAGAAGAGACUAAAUCCUCUGUUAGCCAACCUUUCAGAAAGCCUUGUGUCUCCAUAUUUCACCAUCCUCAACACGAGGGACUGCGAUAUCACUCAAACCGCACUGGGACUCUUAGAUGCUGCUCGACCUUCAUUACCCAUAAACACCAAAAAUGCAAUCUACAAUAGCAUUCUUCAAUCCUUCAUAGGGCCACAGCCUCUGAGGUGCUACAGAAACAACAGCUUUAUCAAGUUCUUAAACGAAAGCCUGUACAGCUUUGGGCCACUUCCAAAUCUGACCACCUUCCUCUCUCUGAUACCACCAACACGGAAAUCUGAGCUUGUGAAUUCUAUAGCUCCUUCUGAGCUGGGAAGCUACUUGAGACAGCCGGAAGUGGUGAACAACGAUUCACAAAUCUGUGUGAUCUUUAACAACUUUACCAAAACCCCUGAGUUCUUGGAGACCGUGAGUUUAAAAAAUAAAUAAUAAAAUGUUCAAAGCACAUUUAUGUAGAA
rnacentral:lncRNA from 1 species